GACAGAGGUGCCGAGCGUUAGGCGGAAUCACUGGGCUUAAAGCGUGUGUAGGCGGGUCGUUAAGUGUCUUGUGAAAUCCCACCGCUCAACGGUGGAACUGCUGGGCAUACUGGCGAUCUUGAGCCACCUAGGGGCAGACGGAACAAGCGGUGGAGCGGUGAAAUGCGUAGAUAUCGCUUGGAACGCCGACGGUGAAAACAGUCUGCUGGGGGUGUGCUGACGCUGAGGCGCGACAGCGUGGGGAGCAAACAGG
rnacentral:rRNA from 1 species